GUGCUCCUCGCUCGUUUUAUGUCUCGCACUCAGGAAGAUAAGACGAGCAAGUAGUCGGU
rnacentral:pre_miRNA from 1 species